rnacentral:rRNA from 1 species
AUUUGUCUGGUUAAUUCCGAUAACGAACGAGACCUUAACCUGCUAACUAGUCACUUUUAUUCUUAUAGAUUUCGACUUCUUAGAGGGACUAUGCGUAUUAAGCGCAUGGAAGUUUGAGGCAAUAACAGGUCUGUGAUGCCCUUAUAUGUCCUGGGCUGCACGCGUGCUACACUGAUGCAUACAACAAGUGCCUAACCAGUCAUGGCUUGGCAAUCUCCAAUAUGUAUCGUGAUGGGGAUAGAUCUUUGCAAUUAUAGAUCUUGAACGAGGAAUUCCUAGUAAGUGCAAGUCAUCAUCUUGCAUUGAUUAUGUCCCUGCCCUUUGUACACACCGCCCGUCGCUCCUACCGAUACCGGGUGGUUCGGUGAACCUUUUGGACCUCUUCGGAGGAAAAAUAAGUAAAUCAUAUCACCUAGAGGAAGGAGAAGUCGUAACAAGGUUUCCGUAGGUGAACCUGCRGAAGGAUCA